UAUGGGUCCUGGCAUCCCGAGGCAGGGCCAGGGAAGGGCCAGGGUGAGGCCAAGAGGGCGGGUGAGGACAGCCCAGCCCAGCUCCUCACUGCUGGGGAGCCUGGUGUGGGGGCAGGACUGCUCUUGGCAGCUAUGUGCUCCCUGGAUGGAGAGAAGGCCUGUGUGUCUAUGGAGGAGUGAGUAGAGGCAGAGGCAGCCAGACCCUCCUACCCCUUAGAAAGCAAGGUUCUAGCAGCAUCUCUGUAGGGGUUCAUGGUAGGGGCAAGGGCAAUGGCUCUGCCUGCCCAGUGCCUCAGCUCAGUGCCCAGAUCCCUGCCGCUUAUCCCUCCAGACCUCGUCUGGGCCCUGCCUUUGUUCCCAUGCAGCAACUGUCUCCAGGAGAUGGAGAUGACAUCAGAAUAGCCGGAGCAGGUGUGAUCCAAGGUUCUGCAAGGAAAAGGAAGGAUGGUGUGGAGUGUGUUGCUGCAGGGAAGGCUUCCCAGUGGAGGUGGCUCCUGAGCUCUAGGAAAAGGGAAGUGAGUGUCCUUCCAGGCAGAGGGAACAGCAGGUGCAAAGGCCUGGGGGCUCAUCUAUAACCGCACCCCGCGCACACGCCGGCGGGGCUAACGAGCCCACAGCCCUCCAGGGCGGGAUGAAGCCAGUUGUCGGGCGGGGCCGCGGCGGUCACACAGCAUUAGCCCUGCGGCCGCCCCGCCACACCCCCACGGCCGCGGCCCAGAUCCUCCCCGCUUUGCCCACCGGCCUCCAUCUCUGUCCUCAGGCCCGCUGGAGUCACAAGCCCCAUCCCAGACUCUCCAACGCUGGACCUGCAGCGCCCAGCCCUGCCCUGGUGCUACCACCUGCCAGCUCUGUGCCUGCCCCUCCACUAGAUCAUGACUUGGGCUCCAGCUCCCUCACUCUCCAUGCCUCUCACUUGCGGGUUGUGCCCUGCUCAGCUGGCCAGACUUUGGCCCCCUCCCUACCUGGAUUUGUGAAGCCCCAAAUUUCAUCUCCUCACCCACCACACUUAUUCACAGCCUCCGCCUGCUGACAUACCCAGGCAAGACUCCCUUCCCCUCCAGGCAGCCAAACUUCAGUUCGAAUCUUCUGGCUCUUACCAGACCCCUGAUGAAUCCCAGGAUCUUCGCAGGUGGUCCCAGGGCCUCUUUGAACCACAGUUUUACUUAUCUGAAAAAUAAAA
rnacentral:lncRNA from 1 species